rnacentral:lncRNA from 10 species
CCGAAGGUCAUUACUCUAGUAAAAGAAAUUAGAUGUAAAAGAGGCUAUAUUUUAUGAUUCCUUUUAUAUGACAUGCAAAAUCAGGCAUAUCUACAUAUUUAGAAAUCAGAAUAGCGUUUGCCUUUGGAAGAUUGAGGAUUGACUGGAAGAGGGCAUGAGAGAACUCUCUGGUGUAAUGAACAUUUUCCAUAUCAUGAUGGGAGUACCGGAUACAGUUUAUCAAAAGUCAUCUAAACUGUACGCUGAAGUGCUACAAAUAUACUUCAAUUUGAAAAAUAACUAUUUAACUACUGCUCCUCCCUACUCUACAUACAAAAGAUACAAGCACUAGAAACCUAAAAUUGCCAUCGAAAUCAGCUGUAAGUCUCUACUCAUUUACGCUUGCUAACUGAUACUUAAUUUUUUUUUUUUUUUUUUUUUUUGUGAGAUGGAGUCUCACUCUGUCACGCAGGCUGGAGUGUAGUGGCACGAUCUCGGCUCACUGCAACCUCUGUCUCUCCCAGGUUCAAGCGAUCCUCCUGCCUCAGCCUCCUGAGGAGCUGGGAUUAAAGGCAUGCACUACCACACCUGGCUAAUUUUUGUAUUUUUAGUAGACAAGGGGCUUCACCAUGUUGGUCAGGCUGGUUUCCAACUCCUGACCUCAUGAUCCGCCUAGGCCUCCCAAAGUGCUGAGAUUACAGGCAUGAGCCACUGCACCUGGCCCUGAUAGUUAAUUUUUAGGGUAACUGGGAUUGAGCAAAGGUUGUUGAAUUUUGUCUGGCAUUUCACUGAGCAUGACAUGUGUAUGUGUGCGUGUGUGUGUGUUUGUGUGUGUAUGUUUUCUAGACGUGUGCUUUUAUACAAUUCUAUGUAUUAGGGUGGUGCAAACUUAAUUGAAGUUUUGGCACUAAAAGUAAUGGCAAAAACCGCAAUUACUUGUGCACCAACGUAAUAUAUAGACAUGGCUAAGGGUACAUCACUAAUGAAUUACAAGCUUUAAAUAAGUUCAUCUACAAGGAAGAUAUGGAAAACUUAUUUUGCAGUCUUCAUGAACACACAGAGAGGAGAUCACACAUGUGUUCCUGUACUCAAAUAUUCCAUACCCAAGUUAUUUUUAUUGAAGUAACAUAUGCUUAGGGUUCAUGUAUAGGAGCAGCUCUGGCCGCAUUCCACCCAGCCUUCUGCUCUGCUUCCCAAAGGAAAGUACUCCUACACUAUUAGGGUAGAUAUAAAUUGAGUUCUCUCUGUUUUUUUUUUUUUUUUUUUUUGAGAUGGAGUCUUGCUCUGUCUCCCAGGCUGGAGUGCAGUAGUGCAAUCUUGGCUCACUGCAACCUCUGCCUCCCAGGUUCAAGAGAUUCUCCUGCCUCAGCCCCCUGACUAGCUAGGACUACAGGUCCAUGCCCGGCCACAUUUUGUAUUUUUAGUAGAGAUGGGGGUUUCACCAUGUUGGCCAGGCUGCUCUAGAACUCCUGACCUCAAGCAAUCCACCUGCCCCCGCCUCCCAAAGUGCUGGGAUUACAGGUGUGAGCCAAUGUGCCCCGCCAAUUUAAUUCUCUUACACCAGUACUCCAGUCCUGGAUUUUUUUACCACCUAUAAUCCUAAUGUAACUUUUAGAUUAAAUAGUUAUUUAGUGUUUGUACUAUUUUAAGUAUAUAAAAAUAUUACAAUGCUUAAGCCAAGUGACUUAAUAGAAUUUUUUUCUUUCCUGUAUCAUUAGUAGUCUUUCCUAUGUUAAAAAUUGCCCUAUUUGUAUGUGUUUGCCUGUUUAUUUCUAUAAU